rnacentral:rRNA from 1 species
GACGAACGCUGGCGGCGUGCUUAACACAUGCAAGUCGAACGGGAAGGCCCUGCUUUUGUGGGGUGCUCGAGUUGCGAACGGGUGAGUAACACGUGAGUAACCUGCCCUUGACUUUGGGAUAACUUCAGGAAACUGGGGCUAAUACCGGAUAGGAGCUCCUGCUGCAUGGUGGGGGUUGGAAAGUUUCGGCGGUUGGGGAUGGACUCGCGGCUUAUCAGCUUGUUGGUGGGGUAGUGGCUUACCAAGGCUUUGACGGGUAGCCGGCCUGAGAGGGUGACCGGCCACAUUGGGACUGAGAUACGGCCCAGACUCCUACGGGAGGCAGCAGUGGGGAAUAUUGCACAAUGGGCGGAAGCCUGAUGCAGCAACGCCGCGUGCGGGAUGACGGCCUUCGCGUUGUAAACCGCUUUCGCCUGUGACGAAGCGUGAGUGACGGUAAUGGGUAAAGAAGCACCGGCUAACUACGUG